rnacentral:rRNA from 1 species
GAUGAACUCUGGCGGUAUGCUUAACACAUGCAAGUCGAACGGACUCUUCGGAGUUAGUGGCGGACGGGUGAGUAACGCGUGAGAAUCUGGCUUUGGGUUCGGGACAACCACUGGAAACGGUGGCUAAUACCGGAUGUGCCGAGAGGUAAAAGAGAAAUUGCCUGAAGAUGAGCUCGCGUCUGAUUAGCUAGUUGGUGAGGUAAAGGCUCACCGAGGCAGCGAUCAGUAGCUGGUCUGAGAGGAUGACCAGCCACACUGGGACUGAGACACGGCCCAGACUCCUACGGGAGGCAGCAGUGGGGAAUUUUCCGCAAUGGGCGAAAGCCUGACGGAGCAAUACCGCGUGAGGGAAGAAGGCUCUUGGGUUGUAAACCUCUUUUCUUAGGGAAGAACAAAAUGACGGUACCUAAGGAAUCAGCAUCGGCUAACUCCGUG